UGAAAUAAAACUUAAAAGAUAGAACGCUUCACGAAUUUGCGUGUCAUCCUUGCGCUAUCUGUCCAGCGAUGCUCUCUGUUUCUCAGCCAAUCAGCAACCCCGCAUCAACUCCAGAGACCUCAACUCCAGAGACGCCCCGAUCAAUCAGCAACCCCGCAUCAACUCCAGAGACCUCAACUCCAGAGACGCCCCGCCCAAUCAGCAACCCGCAUCAGCAUCAACUCCAGGAAAACUUUCCACGUGUGUCAGCCAUUAUCUCUGCAUUCGAGGAUAAGAUGUCUUUUGCAAAUUUAAAAAUGACGCCGUCGCAUCAGUUGGUCCUGCGGGCCUCUGAUUCGGCGGCAGCCUUCACCGCCGCCACGGGGCCACGCGGGACCCAGGCUCCCGCCAGGGCCAAGAAGCCGGGGGAGGUGGAGAAGGAGGCCCGAGCCCGCGUCGUCUCCGAGGGUGGUGACCCUGGGAACCCCAUGCUGGUGCUGGACUGCCACAGCAUCCAGCUGGGGAAGUACCGGGGUCAGACCUUCAGAUGGCUCCUGGAGAACGACGCGGGCUACGCCUGUCACCUGGUCGACAGUCACCAGCAGGAGCGGGAGACGAGUGCCUCGGACAGCCCGCUCAUGGCCAACAAGGACAGCCUCGCCCGCUACUCCUGCGCCCACCCCGCUUUUGCGGAGCACCUCCAGUUCCGCCGGGCGCAGGAGGAGGCCCGGGCUCGCGCCACUCUGCCCGGGCGGGGAGGCGAGGCGCUUGUUGGCAUCGGGCUGUUCAAGGAGGACACCCUGAAGGACCUGUACGACUCCAAGGACAAGGAGCGUCAGACCUACGUCAAGUGGCUACGGCGGAAGACCCCGCAGCCUGGGAGCGCCAUGGACGUCGCCAUAAAGUACAUUCUGGGCCGAGACAAGGAGCGGUCGGCGGAGGCGGCUGCUACACCCCCUCCGCCCGCCAGCAGCAGCACCAGCAGCGGCCUCAGCACCUCCACCAGCAAGGCCGCUGCUUCCACCGUGCUGCCGCCCCGCAAGCCGACCGCUCCCAAUUUCUCGGCCCUUGUGCGCGGGCGUCCGAUGGGCCCAGGGGAGCUGCAGGCCCGGAUCAGGAGACUGAUGACCCCACCAGCACGGCCUGCAGCUCCAGCGGUGUCUUCCGUCAGAGACCAGCGCCCCUCGGUUCCGCCGCCCCCCACCACAGAGGUGAUGGACGAGGAGCUGGUCCAGACGGUCACUGACGUGGAAAUGGGUAGCUGGCACCACAUGCAUACAUACACACCACAACUGAUAUCUAUUCUUGAGUCAGUGUGUUUGCAUUAACUGUAACUUUUUCAUUUGCCGGUCGCUAAAGCUGAUGCCUGAAGGACAAAGGUAGGUUUAUCAGGUGAUGUAGCCGUCUUUGUUGGUGGUAGACGCGCCGUCCUCACUCACGUAGUGGUAAUGUGGAUUUGAUUAAACUCCCAGUCUAGCAAACCUCGCCUUGUAACUAACAUUCGCCUUGUAGCACACCUCUUAACGGUCGCCUUGUAGCACACCUCUUAACAGUCGCCUUGUAGCACUAAACCAUUUUAUCUAAUCAACGGCAUGCUGCACGUCAUGAAUGCUCAGACUCACUUAGUCUCGCCUGCCUGUGUGUUGCCCCGUCACUCUCAUUGUGCUGAUGCCAUUUGGUUGUGCGUGACCGUGUCUGAAGCUGGCGUACAGGUCCUUCAGGCCCUCCCGCUCCCGCUGGAGACGCCUCCGUCUCCGCCUCCUCCGGCACCGUCCUCCACCCCUCCCCCACCACCACCACCUCCACCACCACCAUCCCCACCACCACCACCACCACCACCACCACCACAGGUUGCGGCCGCUCCGCCGACGGUCGGGCUUCCUGCUCGGGCUCCGGCGCAGACCAGGGUGGAGCCUCGUGGCGUCUCCGUGGAGGAGACGCCGUGCGGGGAGGCCACCCUGGCACCGGAGCCGAAGAAGAGGAGGAAGAUGACGACGGGCGACGCGGAGCAGUCGGCAACGCCCGCUCCUGCUCGGGCUGAGACCCGGUUGGCUGAGGGCUGGCGGACAGCCCUCACCGGGGGAGGAGCAGGAGCUGAACAGUAGGACCCUCUCGCUGUGGUUCACCCGGACGCAGCGAGAGAAGGAGAGGGCUGUGUUGACUCCAGGCGUUGCAGCAGACGGAGGACGACCACCGGCGGCGGCCGCGGCGACAGCGCCGGGCCCGGCCUCGGCAGCGGCGGUGGAUCGUCCGGCGGCAGCAGCGACGGCGACGUCGGCGGUGCCUCAAGGCCGGGCGACGCCAGCGGCAGCGAGGGGGGCGGCGGUGGCCCCGGCAGCGGCCCCGGCUGUGGCAGCACCGGGGCCCGCUAUGCCGGCGCCCAGACGGCUACUGGCGCCUCGACGGCUACUGGCGCCUCGACAGCCCGCCCCCUCCGCUGCUUACCCGGCCUUCCUGCCGACGGCUGCUGCCGCAGCUGCAACUGGACCUUUAAGAGCAGCACAGCCUCUCCUUGUGGACCUCUUACUGCCCCGGCAGAGUGUGUGGGUGCUCCCCGUCCCCGUCCUGACGCUCCCUCGGACACUGCCGGCUCCACACGUCCUCCCUCCGCCGCUGGCCGCCGCACAGCACGCCGGCCCUGAGCUGCCGGUAGCCCUGCCCGCCGCGCAGCACGGCCCGGCCCUGAGCUGGCUGUACCCCUCAAAACGGUAGAACGGAGGAGGCUGAACGCCAAGCGGCGGGCGGAGGCACAGCCGGGCACAACAUACUCCUCCCGGGCCGGCGUGCCACAGGUGCAUAAGUGCAGUAAAUGCGGCCAGCCGAGGCGGAGGGAGACCGGACACUCCCGCCACGGCAGAGAAUACUUCUGCUCCGUCGCGGCGGGUCAGAGUGUGGAGGACUGGCUGAGGGAGAAGAGGAGCGGGACCAGGGUGGAGCCCCGCACUGAUGCACACUCUUGCCGGGGAUGGUGUUGUACAUAGUUCUCUUUUGUAUAUAGUUGUUUUUCUGUUGUGUAUAUAGUUAUUUUGCUGUGUUAGUGUAUAUAGUUGUUUGCUGUAUAUAGUUUUCAUUUUU
ensembl:lncRNA